rnacentral:rRNA from 1 species
UACAGAGGUGGCAAGCGUUGUUCGGAAUUACUGGGCGUAAAGGGCGCGUAGGCGGCCUACUAAGUCAGACGUGAAAUCCCCCGGCUUAACCUGGGAACUGCGUCUGAUACUGGAAGGCUUGAGGAUGGGAGAGGGAUGUAGAAUUCCAGGUGUAGCGGUGAAAUGCGUAGAUAUCUGGAGGAAUACCGGUGGCGAAGGCGGCAUCCUGGACCAUUACUGACGCUGAGGCGCGAAAAGCUAGGGGAGCAAACGGGG